rnacentral:rRNA from 1 species
UACGGGGGGGGCAAGCGUUGUUCGGAAUUACUGGGCGUAAAGGGUUCGUAGGUGGCUUGCUAAGUCAGACGUGAAAUCCCUCAGCUUAACUGGGGAACUGCGUCUGAGACUGGCAAGCUUGAGUGAGCAGGAGAGGAAUGCGGAAUUCCAGGUGUAGCGGUGAAAUGCGUAGAUAUCUGGAGGAACACCGGUGGCGAAGGCGGCGUUCUGGACUGCAACUGACACUGAGGAACGAAAGCCAGGGGAGCAAACGGG